CGCAGCCACAAUGUAAGUACAGUUCACUUUCUGCUUCUUUUUUCUAUUGGUCAGCGAGCGGGAACGUAAGCUAAUCGUAUGCUCUCUCUUUUCAUGUCAAAAGCCCCGCAGAUGCGACCAAUAGCCUGGCUGCACUGAAAUCGCACAACCUUCCAGCACUCAAGAAAAGCUAUGAAGUCAUUGAGAAACUGCUCCUGGGUGACCCAUCCCCAAUGACCACCGAGGAAGCCGAAUCAGUCGUGGAAUCGUUGAAGGCUCUAACAACUCUGGAGGAAAACCUUGAACCUGAAAGUGAAGAGUAUUUCCUGGCGAACCUCUUUCAGAAAAUUGUUGUCUGGGCAGUUCAAACGGCCGUGUCCAAGGUUGCCUCACGUGGUAUGGAGGCUAUGAUUAACAAGGGAUAAAAUAGCAGUAAUUCUAUGCACCACUGCAGCACAAAUAAAAUACGUACACACAACGGG